rnacentral:lncRNA from 1 species
ACUUUAUCAUCUGCUUUACCUUUUGAUUUGCUGGCACCUUCUGCUUCACGGGUUUCCUUCUCACUCUACGUCAUGCCUUUCUGUUCCAUCACCUUGCGCAUCACACUUUUUUUUUUCUUUCUUUCUUUCCCUCCCCAGAUGAGUCUUUACUAUAUUUGCUUAUUUUCCAGGGGCUGAAAAAAUGGGAGAAAGUGCUUUGUUCUCUGUGUAGAGUUCGGCAGAGAAAGAUAACAUUUUUAAGUCCUUUAUAAUGCCAGUUCCACUUGCUCCCUACCCUGCACCAACAGCUCCUUAUACACCACCAGCUAAUGGUAUCUUAUCUGCCUUUCCCUCUUCUCAACUGCUUCCCAAGAAAUCUUGCCAUCAUUUCAUUGCUUUUUGGUGAUGGAAUGAUUGGAGAUUUAAAUUCUUACUUCUUUUCCAUCAUUUGGACAAAAUUCUAAAAUUGAAUGUAAAAGUAGCAUAAUUAAAAAGAAACAAUAAUUCAUAAUUUCCAUUGGCUAAGAGGAGAAAUGAUGGAUUAGAUAUGUAGAUUUUUAAAUGAGAAUCCUCUGAGACUCUGAUUUGGGUGGAAUGUGGGAUUUGAGAUGUCUUAUGAUAUGCUUUUUUUUAUAUAUAAUUCUUGUAUUCUGAAAUAGUCCAAUUUCUCAUGUGGUGUGGCUUGUAAAGUGUAGAUUGAAACCUCUCUUAGAGAUAGAUAGAAUGCUAGAGCCUUUAGUAUGCUGUGGCUAUUUGUUUGUACUUACAAGUUACAAGUAUUUUAUACAUGAAGUUUUUUCUUGACUGCCAGGUGCACAGAGUCAACUUGUCUGUUCUGGGUGUAGAAACCUUCUCAUGUAUCCAGCUGGAGCCACCUCUGUGUGCUGUGCUGUUUGCAAUGCAGUAACAGGAGUGCCACCUCCUGGUACGUUGCUGUUUCUCCUCACUAAGUCUAUUACUCUUUAUAUAAUUCCCCUGGUUGUAGGUUAUUUGAAAGUUCUGUGAUUUCAAUAAACCGAUCAUGAGGCAGCUAAAUCACAAACACUCGUGUGUGACAGGCACAGAAAUGGCCCAGUUAGUUUGCGGAGGUUGCCAUACUCUACUCAUGUACAUCCGUGGAGCGACAAAUGUGCAAUGUUCUUGUUGUCACACGGUCAAUCUAGCUUUAGAAGGUAUUUUACUACUAAUGAUCUCUCUGAUGUUUAAAGAAUUGUGUAUGCAUGAUGGACAGAAUUUAGGACAUGUUUCUCUUGUGAGCUAAAUCAUUGUGGUUAAGUCUCUAUUUUGUGGGUAAGCAUAAGUGUGUAUUGAAUCAGC